rnacentral:rRNA from 1 species
GACGAACGCUGGCGGCGUGCCUAAUACAUGCAAGUUGAGCGAUGAAGAUUGGUGCUUGCACCAAUUUGAAGAGCAGCGAACGGGUGAGUAACGCGUGGGGAAUCUGCCUUUGAGCGGGGGACAACAUUUGGAAACGAAUGCUAAUACCGCAUAAUAACUUUAAACAUAAGUUUUAAGUUUGAAAGAUGCAAUUGCAUCACUCAAAGAUGAUCCCGCGUUGUAUUAGCUAGUUGGUGAGGUAAAGGCUCACCAAGGCGAUGAUACGUAGCCGACCUGAGAGGGUGAUCGGCCACAUUGGGACUGAGACACGGCCCAAACUCCUACGGGAGGCAGCAGUAGGGAAUCUUCGGCAAUGGACGAAAGUCUGACCGAGCAACGCCGCGUGAGUGAAGAAGGUUUUCGGAUCGUAAAACUCUGUUGGUAGAGAAGAACGUUGGUGAGAGUGGAAAGCUCAUCAAGUGACGGUAACUACCCAGAAAGGGACGGCUAACUACGUG